UAGACGCCAAAAGUUAUGAAAAACAAUUGGGUAAAGCCAAAUAUCCUCUCCACUGCGAGUUUCUCCCUUUCCCUCCCUCCUAUUCUCUUCUCCUCCCUAGUGCGAGCUGCUCUCUUUCCACUGCCAUCUUGCCGUAAAAACCCUGCAACCAUCUACUGUCUUCCCGUUGAAACUUGUCAACUGAGCUGGGUUUCAAAGAAAAAGACGACGACCCUGUGACCCGAUCCCCACCGCCGCUGCCAUCUUGCCGUUGAAACCCUGCAACUGAGUCGCAUGCCAUAGUUAAAGACGACCCUGCAACCAAGCUCCACCGCCACUGCCAUCUUGCCGUUGAAACCCUGCAACCGAGCCGCAUGCCGUAGUUAAAGACGACCCUGCAAUCUGAGCUCCAUCGCCGCUGCCAAUCUUUCCGUUGAGCUGCAACUGAGCAUGUUCCCAUAGUGAAACACAACCCUGCAACCAUCAACCACUUCAGGAAGAUCCUGGUUGUUUCUUAUUCAAAUGGUGUGAUCAACAUCUUAAAGAAGUACCAAAAGCUGAGAAUUCAUGAAUACUACAAGAUGACGGUCCAACAGUAGAUUUGCUCCGAAGGGAUUUAUUAAAUGAAAUAAUAAUGGAGCAGUCACUUUUUAAAUAUGAGAUACAGUUGGAAUUGGUCAAUAUUAGAAACGUUCUAACCAUGCAUUUAGUGGCAUUAGUUGUUUUAUUAGUUUUAAUUAUUAUGUUGCUCUUUUGUUGGUAGAGAGUUGGGUAUAUUUUAUACUAAGUUUUAUAUUUUGACUUACAAAGUGGACAUAUUUCGAUUAAUUA